GGCCCCGGCUGCGGGAAAGCGGCGGUGAGGAGAAUCCGACAGCCCUCACCUCACAGGGGCAGCCCUUACCUCAUAGGGGCAGCCCUCAUCCCCACACAAAGGCCUUGCGUUCCCUACGGUGCUGUGAGCUCACAGCUUGACACCGACCCCAUCCACAGAGGCAAAAACGAAGUUAAACCCCCACAUCACUCACACUGCCCGUGAGCACAGACCCUGCAUGAUCCCAACUGAGGAAACAGAGCCGUCAACACAAGCUGAGCAACAAGAGAGCUGCUAACAGCCCCGGCACACCUGGGAUGCCCAGGAAGGUGUUGUGUGAGUUCCCAUACCAGACCAGCAGCUCUUGAUCCGGAGGAAUCAUCUAAAGAAGGACACAGACAUGAGGGUGUUGGGAUGGCACAGCAAGCCAGCAAUCUUCAGCCGGUUGUUCCAGACUCCUGCAAGGUCAGCACUGCCAUCAGCACUGCUCAAUGCCCCCAGCACUGCCAGGACACCGUGCACACUGACAGUGAUGGCAUCACUCUGCACCACGUACUGCAGCACCACGUAGUGCUGGCACUGAGCUGCACCUCAGUCUGCCCAGGUCCAGGAGUGGGCAAAGGAGCAGCAGUAGGGCACAGAGCCUGCACAUCCCCAUAGUUCAAGGAGAAGGAGGUGUAGCAGCACACAUUGACGUGUAGAAUUAAGCUGUUGUGCACCCACAGACUGCAGCAAGGUGCAAGGAUGCAGAGAUCGGACUCGGUGCUAUACACAGUGCUCUGCAUGGAGCCCUUGGCACUCUGUGCUGCAGGACACAACAGCAUCUCCCAGCCCAGCACGGUUAUUCCCCAGCAGUGGAAAUGGAGGUAGAAAUGUAGAUGCAGCCUUGGGCUCGGACAGAGUAGGGAACCAGCCCAGAUCCCAGCGGCUGCUGCAGGAAAGCAUGAUCCAGGCAUGAGAUGCUGCCUCUUCCAAAGCCCCAUUGCCUCCACCAGCUCAAGCAGAGAACAGGAAGGGCUUCUCUAUCAGCGCUGCUCUUGUUCCUAUGGGAUGACAGCACUCCUCCCACCACUGGUGUUUGGGUUCUGGUUCUGCACUGCAGUGAGAGCAGGGACAGCGCCCAAGCAGCCUCUGCAGCACAGCCACGGCCAGAGGAUGGAUGUGCUCACAGCAACAGCAUCAGGCAGCACUCAUAGCAACACCGCCCUACAAAACUACGUAUCUCCCCCUUGCAGGUCCUUAGCGCUAUGGAUCUAAUUUAGAAGCAAGAGAAUGCUGAGUUUCAGAGGUUGGCUUUCUAUGCACAGAGUUCAGGAGAAGCAGAACUGCAAGUCAGGUCACCACAGCACUGUUAAAGUGCCUGAUUUGAUGCACCUGAAAGCAGUGCUGGUUCGGCUCCAUGUGUUUCUAUUUCAGCAUCACUGUGGUUACAGAUCUGAAAGAUGGGACCAUCGCUUCCCAUCCCAAACCAGUGCCGUUCCUCACCAUCAUUUCCUUAUAAUAUGAAUUUCAUUUAAUACAAGCAAAUAGAAAUUAAUACUGCUGGAAAGAUACUGAGAUGGUCUGUGCCCCACAAUAUUCCACCCAUGCAGCUCUGGGUUAAGGGAUUAAUGAGCAGAGUGAGCUACAGGAGGAAAACCAGAACCUCCUCUUGUUGCUGCACCAACAGUUGGAGCCAGCAGAAGCUCUCAGUGGCUCCAUGCCCCGAUGGCAGCAGCACAGCAGCACCUCGUGUGCCCACAUCCCCUGUGCACAGAGCUCAGAGCUCUUAGUGCUUCAGCUUUACUAUCUGAGCAAAGGGAAUUAAACACAGCUGCCCCGGUGCUCAGAUCAUUAUCGUUGUGCAAAGCCUGCAGAUAACAUUGCCACCCACCCCAACAGCUGGGCACGGGUGUUGCCUGGAAUUGUUUUGUUUCUUUGCAUGAUGUAAGAAUCAAAACCAAUUAAGCUAAUGCCUCUAAUGCUACACCAGGCACAGCUGCCCGCUGGAGCAUCAGGAUCUAAAGCUGGGCACAGCGAGAGCCUGCAAAGGGAUGUGCAGAGCAGGGAGGGCAGCUCGGAGCUCCUUCUCCCCACCCUAUUGCUCCUAUCCCUGUCCCCAUUGGGGUGCUGCCUCAGUGCUGUGUUACUGCCCACAGAGCAGCGAUUCUCAGCCAUGGGACAGGCAGCUGAGACAGAGCUGUCCCUUUUCCAACCCCUCUAAGCCCACACAGCCGCCUGGUGACAUCCCUGCGAUGCCAUCACCCUUCAGUAGCAGUGGUCCAUGGGGAUGCAUUUACUGCCACAGCCACACUGACCUCCAGGUAAAAGCUGCAGAGUGAAGCGCAGCCUCCACCUGGAUUCACAGAAGCCUCCAGCUUUGGGUUGUGGUUCUACACUAAAUCCUGUUUCUCAAUACAACAU